rnacentral:rRNA from 1 species
AUGGUUCAUCAGGAUCAGGGAAAGCUGGUGCAGGUGGUGGCCGCGAACGUUGGACUUGUGGCGCCGCCGAGCGGGUACAUGCUAAGUGAGGAGAACCGACCGACCACUGUCGCUCAGCAAGCCAAGCUGGUUAUCCCCAUCGUGGACGUGAGCCGUCUGGCCAUGCCCGACGAUGUUGAGGAGGCGGCCAAGCUUCGCUCUGCGCUGCAGUCAUGGGGCCUCUUUGUGGUGACUGGCCAUGGCAUGUCAAAGGAGUUCCUCAACGAGAUCCUCGAGGCGACGAGGAAGUUCUUCCACCUGCCGCUGGAGGAGAAGCAGAAGUGCGGCAACUUCCAGAACGAAGGGUAUCGCAUCGACCGCAUCGACUCCGAUGAGCAGAUCCUUGACUGGUGUGACCGGCUCUGGCUCCAGCUCCAGCCGGAGGACGAGAGGCGGCUCCAGUUCUGGCCACAUAAUUUAUAUCGGAGAUCAUAUAUAAUCUGCAGGGAUCUCCUACACGAGUACACCUUAGAGAGUGGGAGAGUGACCAUGAAUGUGUUGAAGGCCAUGGCAAAGCUUCUGAACCGGGAGGAGGGCUUCUUCAUCAACAUGGUGGGUGAGAGGUUCAAGUCAUACUCGAGGUUCACCUACUACCCUCCCUGCCCACGGCCGGACCUCGUGAACGGGCUGAAGCCGCACACCGACAACUCCGUCAUCACACUCAUCCUCAUGGACAAGGACGUCGGCGGCCUCCAUGUGCUCAAGGACGGCCACUGGGAUGUCCCCGUGCUCGGUAAUGACAUGUUGGUCGUCGUAGGUGAGGGCAUGGAGAUCGUCAGCAAUGCAAUCUUCAAGGCACCAUGGCACCGUGUGGUGACGAGUGCUAACAAGGAGAGGCUGUCACUGGCGAUGUUCUACCAGCCGGAGCCGGAGAGGAUCAUAGGGCCUCCGGGGGUGCUGGUUCACGAGAAGCGCCCGGCCAUGUUCAAGAACUACCUGGUCCAGACCUUGGGCGAUGGAUACUGGGAUGCGUUUGCAGCGGGAGAUCGCACCGUCGACUUCCUCAAUGUCAGGAUCAAUGCUGAGGCCGACACCGAACUGGAGGGGCGCGCAGUGGUUGCAAACAACUAA